AAGACUAUACUUUCAGGGAUCAUUUCUAUAGUUUGUUACUAGAGAAGUUUCUCUGAAUGUGUAGAGCACCCAAAGCCACAAGGAGGAGGCACAGCGUUCUCUCCUGAGUGUGAAGUUGGCUCUUGGUGUUGCUUUUGCAGCUGCCACUAGCCAUUGAUGCUUGUUCUUCUCUUCCUUUGGGAGAGUAAGAGGGAGAGAAUGUUGUCAGAGU